UAACUAGAUCACAGAGAUGUGAUGGAAAAUAGUUGAUGAGUUGUUUAAUUUUAAGAAUUUUUAUCUUAAUUAAGGAAGGAGUGAUUUCAAUGGCACAAGAUAUCAUUUCAACAAUCGGUGACUUAGUAAAAUGGAUUAUCGACACAGUGAACAAAUUCACUAAAAAAUAAGAUGAAUAAUUAAUUACUUUCAUUGUAAAUUUGUUAUCUUCGUAUAGUACUAAAAGUAUGAGUUAUUAAGCCAUCCCAACUUAAUAACCAUGUAAAAUUAGCAAGUGAGUAACAUUUGCUAGU
rnacentral:misc_RNA from 1 species